AUUGAACGCUGGCGGCAUGCCUUACGCAUGCAAGUCGAACGGUAACGCGGGGCAACCUGGCGACGAGUGGCGAACGGGCGAGUAAAGUAUUGGAACGUGCCCAAUAGUGGGGGAUAGCCCGGCGAAAGCCGGAUUAAUACCGCAUACGACCUACGGGAGAAAGCAGGGGAUCGCAAGACCUUGCGCUAAUGGAGCGGCCGAUGGCAGAUUAGGUUGUUGGUGGGGUAAAAGCCCACCAAGCCGACGAUCUGGAGCUGGUCUGAGAGGACGACCAGCCACACUGGGACUGAGACACGGCCCAGACUCCUACGGGAGGCAGCAGUGGGGAAUUUUGGACAAUGGGCGCAAGCCUGAUCCAGCCAUGCCGCGUGCGGGAUGAAGGCCUUCGGGUUGUAAACCGCUUUUGUUAGGGAAGAAAUCUUUUGAGCUAAUACCUCGGAAGGAUGACGGUACCUAAAGAAUAAGCACCGGCUAACUACGUGCCAGCCGCCGCAGUAUAC
rnacentral:rRNA from 1 species